UGAGAAAAUUAAUUGAAAAUUUUCAGUGCUUAUUGAAAAGAAUGUCAUGUCAUGUUUGAUUUUACUUUACCUAUCUUUUGUUUUUUUGUUAGGCUUUGUUUGUAGUGCUCAUUUAUUUUUCACUAUAUGGCCUGUAUAUAUAUUCUUUGUGUAUGCAUGUUUUUUGAACUUGAAAGGUUUGCAUUUUUGUUCCAGUGGUCAUCUUAAUAACUUUGAAACUAUUUUUUAUACAUUAUUGAAAGCGUUGAGCAGUAUGUUUCCUGUUCCAACUUCUAGAUUCUUUGGUUAGAUUAUGUACAUAUUGGAUUUCUUUUGUUUCUUUCCAUUUACAUAAUUUUCUCUCUAAUCGUUUUUUUCAUUUUCAUUUCAUUUAACUUGCUUUUCUCAAUCUGGUAUUUUGUGAUUCUUAAAACAUUCUUUAUUUUGCUUUUUUUUUCCCCUUAACAAGUGUUUAUUCCAAGUUUGUGUUAAUUUUGUCUUCAUUUUUUAAAUAGUUAUUUUUUCCUCUCACUUUUUCAAUUCAUAUUUAAGUUCCUUUUGUGGUUCUGCUGCUUUUAAAAAAAAUUUCCAGUGAAGGGACUUAAGAAAGUUGAGUUAGUCAUACUUAUUAGUUCAUGCCACAUUAUCAUAAUUGAUUCAUGGAAGGCUAGUUUUAUUUAUUUAUGGUUUCCUUUUUAUUCCUAUUCUUAUCCUCCCCUGGAUAAGCAGUCAUACAAAUGCAUUAAAUAUGUAUCUUUUUGUUUACAUAUAUUUUUGUAAAAUGUGUAUGGGUUUUAUAUACAUACUUUUAAAAUUAAAAAAAAAUUUAGAGAGAACCUUACUAUGUUGCCCAAGCUAGCCUCAAACUCCUGGCCUCAAGAGAUCCCCUGCCUCAGCCUCCCAAGUAGCUGGGACUACAGGCCUGCACCACCAUGCCUGGAUGAUUGAUUACUUUUUGAUUGACUGUUCAUGUUUGGAGGAGAGGUUUUCCAAGAAAUGCUAAUUGCAGAAGGUUUGUGCUGAGAGGCCUGGACCACGUUUCAGCCUAGUAGGAAUUCUGCUUAUGACACAGAGGUUGUGUAGAUGAGUUCCUUUGGCUUCUACUUUUAACUAAGAGAAACUGGCAAUCACAGGGCUGCUCACGUCGCAGUCUAUAUAUAUUUUUUCCAUUUUGCCUCACCAACACAAUGCUUCUGCAUAUGUGGUAUGUCUGAAUGAUUCUUCUUCCAAUGGUGCCUUAUCACCUUCUCUUUUAUAAUCAACCAGGUUGAAGGAAGACACUGCUGCCUGUCCACAUACUUGAUUCCUUUAUUUCAAAUGAAAGAUUGUUGGUUUUGUCUCUAGGGUAAGUCACUUACUUUUGUGAAGUGUGCUUUGUUGAUGUUGAUGACGUCUUCUGCAGUCUGCAGGCAUUUACAUCUUUUAUCAAAGUAGUUCUGCCUUUCACUGUAUUUCACAUAUAUUGUAGUUCAGGGUUUCAGGUAUCUACUGUUUUCAAUGAAAAUGAAUUUUGUAUUAUAGUCAUUAUCCUUGUUACUGAGUAAUUUCUGAGAGGUGGAAGAAUAGAGGAUGCUAUCUUUACUCUCUGGAUACAUUUUUUAAAUCACUGUUUUAUGUAUAUAUUAUGUUAACUCAGCUAGAUUGUAGUUUGGAGAAUUUUCUGCUUUACUGUGUACCAUGCAUUCUUUACUGUUGAUUCCUAAAGUGUCAUAAAAAUUGCUUCUAAUGUUUGUUGAGAAAUUUCAGACAGGCCUAACUCUUAAAGCUUCUGAUUCAUAAAGCCUGAGUUAAACAAGCAUCUCAGGUGAUUCUGAUGCUAGUGGUUCACCAACUGCAUAUUUUACGUAGUAGUCACUCAAUAAAUAACUGAAUGACUUACAAGGGCAUGGGUACUUAUGUGAGAACGCUUGGUAUAGGAAAUGGAGUAGAUAUUGUUUUUAUAAAUAAGACUGGCUGAGGGUACACAGUAAAUACAUACAAUUUUAUCUGUCGCUUUAAAAAAUUAAAAAAAAAAACACUGGCUGAGAUAAAAUAUGCAGCAAUAGAGGGGGUACUGAGGCAGGGAUAUUUUCCUUGGAGAAUAGAGAAACUUUUCUUUCUGCCUCAGAAAUGUUCUGUCAUCUGUUUAAUUGGAUAUUACUUAGCCCACUAAUGACACACAAUAAAUAACUGAUGAAUGACAGCAUCGAAAUUGGGCAAACACUGAGAGACAAGACUCCCCCAAAGUAACCCAAGAAAUACAAGUUAUCUAUGUGUUUAUGUGAAUAACCAGGCAAAUACUACCUUAUGGUUAAUUUAAACAAAAGAUGAAUUGUUCAUUAAUUUGUGGAUGUGUUAGAUACAUCAAAGUGUAACUUCUUCCCUGUUUCUACUCAUACUUUUUAAAUUUUAAUUUAAUUUAAUUUUAUUUUAUUUUAUUUUUGGGGCAGACUGCUAGUUCUUUUUCCCGGGCAGAUGACUGCUGACAUAGAGACCACGUUUUCUGUCUUCCCUUAUAGCCAUGUUUGGCUAUGUGAUAAAGUUGUCAUGAAGUAAUGAGUCCUACUUUAUUUUUCUUCAUAACACACACAUAUUAUUACUCGACAUUAUGUUAUAUACUUACAUCUGUACUGUCUCUUCCAUUAGAAUGUAAAAGCUAUUAAAGCAGGGACAUUAUUUUAUUCUCUGUCAUUUUCCAAGUAGCUGAAAAGUAUCUGGCAUGUAAAGGACACUCAAUAAGUAAAGGAAUUCAUGCAUAAUUAUUGCAAAAAUAUAGAGAUUAGGUAUUACAGGAUAUGUGGAUCCCAGUAUUUCUAUAAUGAGGAUGUAGUAAGCCUAAUGAAGAAGAGUUUAUCUUGAUUUGGCUUACCAGUUGAACUUGAAUGACCACCCUCUGUGUGCAUACUUAGCAUUCAUAUUUGCAAAGGGAUGGGGACUGACUGGGUUGAUUUCCCUUGACAGAAUGGAGGAUCCCUACUGGGGAGAGCUUCAUGCCACUUCAAAAGUUUGACCUUUCUCAUCUUCAAUCUAGCCACACAGGGUUGCUUUUGGCUCAGGUAUCUAUCUAGGUCCAGUUAUUAGUGGUUAAUACAGCAUGGUUGGUUUCACUUAAUGUACAAUGGCAUGAGUCACAGCAACACUGUGCAGAAGACCAUCUAUCCUCACAAGAAUGUGGUGAACAUUGCUGCCACUCCCAUGCUUUCGAAAUAAAUAGUCUUUUCAAAAUAGUUGCUUCACGGGAAGUUGUCUGUAUUUGUGUUAUAUGUAUUUCGAAUGUACUCAACAACAUUUUUUAGAUGUCCUGUUUUGAAGUUCAGGAUGAUACAACGGAAAUAUAUAGAUUAGUAUUCCAAAGACCUGGGUUCAAGACUCAGCUUUGGGACAUUUUAGCUCUGUGACCUUGGAUAAAAUCACUUCCUCUUCCGGGGUCUCAGCUUUCUCAUUUGUGAAAAUAGAUGGUGAUGGGAGAUGACUUAAAGGUCUCUUCUAACUCCAAUCAUCUAUGAGUCUGAUUAUUUUCAGAGUUUUCACGGCAUUAC
ensembl:lncRNA